rnacentral:misc_RNA from 1 species
AAUGCCAAAUCCAACAAUGCCCUACAAGACCAUUUAAAUAAUGAUAAUAGUUAUUCAAAAAUUGAUAAAGAAGAAAGAAUGCAAUAUGAGAAAGGCAAAGCAAAACACAACAAUUGGAAGGGAAAUAAUAUUUGAAUGUUAUGUAAAAUCAAAAGUGAGAGAUCCAUGCGAGGCUUCCCAUAACAAUCAACUUAUGCCUAAAAAAGGUUUUCCCCUCAGAUCUUUAAACUCAUAUUCAAACAGCAAAUGUGCAAAUUAUACCUGAGAAACAGUAGAACAGCUACGGUGAAACAUCAAAU